AUGGCUCCCUUUUGUGAAAAUCACUACCUGGCAAGUCCAGACUUCCUCAAAACAGCUUUUCAUGUGAUAACAGGCCUUGCAACCCCAAUUCAUGCGUUCGGAUUUUACUGUAUUAUCUAUAAAACUCCAGUUCAUAUGAAAACCGUGAAAUGGUUGCUUUUCAAUUUGCACUUCUGUUGUAUUAUGCUUGAUAUUACCAUUAGCUUCUUGGGUAUUCCAUAUAUCAUAUUCCCGGCUAUGGCGGGCUAUGGACUGGGUCCAAUUGAUUCUCCGGGCUUGAUUUUCUACCUAGGAGUUACUUUUGUAACCUGUGUUUCCACUGCAAUAUUCGUGACAUUUGAAAAUAGAUUUUUCACCUUAUUCGCCCAAACAUCCAAUUGGAAAUAUUUUCGAAAAUACGCAAUUGGCUUCAGUUACAUAAUCAUACCAUUAUACUAUCUACCUAUCCAGUUCUUACUUCCUGAUCAAAUAACUGGAAGAGAACUCUCAUGGGCGGUACUUGACUGCAUACCGGAACUACCGAGCGAUGGGAGGCUGCUGUUCGUAUUUCAAGUUGAGAAACUUGCUCCGGCUCUCACAAUGAUGGUAUCUGAAAGUGUUCCAACAAUUCAAUCCUAGUGGGAUAUCCAGAAAGACAGUGCAAAUGCAGCAUAGGCUGGUGAUAGCCUUGAUAAUUCAGACCUCUGUAUCACUAUUCUUCUUCCUCGUCCCAAUCAACCUCAUUAUAUCAUUUGUAUUUUUUCAUCAUCAAAAUCAAUUUCACAAUAAUUUGAUAUUUUUUGCCUUGGCAAUUCAUGGAAUCGCUUCUACACUAAUUAUGGUAUUUGUGCACAAACCUUAUCGAGACUUUGCUUUAUCUCCAUUUGACUAA
rnacentral:misc_RNA from 1 species